rnacentral:rRNA from 1 species
UGGGGAAUAUUGGACAAUGGGCGGAAGCCUGAUCCAGCAACGCCGCGUGAGGGAUGACGGCCUUCGGGUUGUAAACCUCUUUCAGUACCGACGAAGCGAAAGUGACGGUAGGUACAGAAGAAGGACCGGCCAACUACGUGCCAGCAGCCGCGGUAAUACGUAGGGUCCGAGCGUUGUCCGGAAUUAUUGGGCGUAAAGGGCUCGUAGGCGGUUUGUCGCGUCGGGAGUGAAAACAGCGGGCUUAACUCGUUGCUUGCUUUCGAUACGGGCAGACUAGAGGUAUGCAGGGGAGAAUGGAAUUCCUGGUGUAGCGGUGAAAUGCGCAGAUAUCAGGAGGAACACCGGUGGCGAAGGCGGUUCUCUGGGCAUUACCUGACGCUGAGGAGCGAAAGUGUGGGGAGCGAACAGGAUUAGAUACCCCUGGUAGUCCACACCGUAAACGUUGGGCGCUAGGUGUGGGGUCCUUUCCACGGAUUCCGUGCCGUAGCUAACGCAUUAAGCGCCCCGCCUGGGGGGUACGGCCGCAAGGCUAAAACUUAAAGGAAUUGACGGGGUCAUAGCUG